CAAAGGCCGCAGGAGGGUGCACCCGGAGAAGCCCUUGGAGAGCGCAGGGGCCAGGAAUGCCGCCGUGAGGGCAGCAAGCAGGGCCUGGCCUGCCUGUCCCUGCGGGAGGGCACAGGGCGGGCGCUGAGGCCCUGCCAGCUGGAGCUGGGAGCUCUGGAGCGCGGCCGGCAGAGAGCCGUGGGCUCCCGCAGCUCUGCAGCCCUCACGGCUGAGGCAGCUGCCCGGGCACAGCCGGCCGGGGACACGCGGCCCGCCCGGGGCCACCCGCAGGGGGACCCUGCUCUGGGGCCAGCCCAGGCCGCAGCAGGGAGCACCCCAAGGGGCAGUGCCCGGGCAGGGAACGGCUCUGCCCGGGGACAGGGCUCCAGGAGCAGGGCAGCAUGGCCGCAGGUGCCGCGCACAGAGAGCGAGGGACACAGUGCUGUAGUAACAGCCUGGCUGCCUUGGGGCAUACACAACAGGCUGACAGGGCACAGACAGGCAGAAACUCCCAUCCUCUUGGCAUCCUGGGGCCAGACUGUGCCUGCAUGUAUCCUGAGACCUACCCUGACUCAGGUGCAGCACCUCAUACUUGAUCUUUUUAAACCACAUGAGACUGCUAUGGUUCCACUCCUCAAGCACAUCACAUCUCUUUAGUAGUCAUUCCAUUCUUCAGGUGUGUCAGCUGCUGCUUGGUGACAUCAGCAAACCUGCUGAGGAUACCUCUGGGUACAGGAUGAAUGAAGAUAUUAAUAAACAUUGCUCAGAGAACAGAACUUUGAGGUCCAUCCUGACUCUUAGCUGUUGAUCUCUGGAAGCACCAUGCAUGCAAUUUCUUACCCAUCCAACAGUCCAGGCACCAAAUCCAUCUCUCUCAAAUUUAGGGAGAAUGUUUUGGGGAUCAUGUCAAAGGCUUUACGGUAGUCCAGAUAAAUGACACCUGUAGCCUUGCCCUUGUCCCUUCAUGUACUUGAUCCAUCAUUGAAGGCCACUGGGUAGGUCAGGCAAGACUCCCCCUCGGCUGUCCCAAAUCACCUCCCUGUUCUCCAUGUGCCUUAGCAUAGCUUCAAGGAGGAUGUGUUCCGUGGUCUUCCGAGGCACUGACAUGAGGCUGAUGGGUUGGUCAUUUCCAGAGUGAUCCUUUCUACCCUUUUUUAAAAUGGGUGUAGUGGGUUCACCUUGGCUGAAUGCCAGGUGGUCACUAAGCCACUCCAUCACACUCCCUUUCCUAGUGCGACAGGGGAGAGAACAUAAAAUGGAAAACAAGUAGUCAGUUGAGAUAAGGCUGUUAAAUACAGUGAAAAAAUUGAGUUUGUGCAUGCAAAAGUAAAGGAGAAAAAACAUUUAUUCUCUACUUCUCAUAGACGAGCAAUGUUCAGCCACUUCCCGGGAAGCAUCAAUUUCUCUAUUCUCUUGUCUUCUUGUUCCCUAUGAGAUAUUGGGCCUAUUGUACCACACACCUUAACGGAGCAGAGUGAUACUUCAUAAAGAGAGAUCUGUUCUGCUUAGAAACCCAGCCGUGAGUGGCCUCUAGCUGGAGCCAGAGGUUUAUGUAUUCCACUCUGGCCCUGGAGAAUCAUAACAAGUGAAUGGCUGUGGACGUACUUCCCCUCUCCAGAACAUCAGUCUUCCCUUGUUAAAGCACCCUGAGCAGGGGAAAAGGGAAACAACCGUUUCCAAUUGUUUGGCUAGCCCAAAUCAUACGCACUGAUGAAUAAAGGAUGGGAAUUGCUCACAAAGUACUUGCUGACUUUCUCUACUCCCCUCUACCAGCAGUUUCUUUAGGAUGAUGACUUUUUCUUUUGUGAGGGUGAUGCAAAAGGGAAGUAAACAAGCAGAGCCAGCAAUCAGACUGCAAGUUAGGUCACUGCAAAGAAAAGGGGUUCAUCUUUCACUCAGAGCAAGAAAGGGUUAGAUAAAAAGAUGCCUGUGUGGAGUGUGGAAUGCUGCAACAGGUCCCAAAGCAGUGGUGGCAAAGGCCUGAGCACAGGAAAGGGUCUGGUGAUCAAGUCUGAUGAGGAGCAGCUGAGGGAGCUGGAGGGGCUGAGAAUGGAGAAGAGGAGGCUCAGGGGGGCUUUCUUGUUCUGUACAACUCCCUGAGAGAAGUGUGGAGCCACAGCCCAGGUGGGGGUCAGGCUCUGCUCCCAGGAAACAAGGGAGAGGACAAGAGGAAAUGGCCUCAACUUCUGUCGGGGGGGGGGCUUAGAUUGGGUAUUAAGGACAAAUUUCUCCUCUGAAAAGGUUGUUAAGGGUUGUCAUGGCUGCCCGUGGAAUUCAUGAUAUUGUCAUGUCUGGAGACUCUUAUGGAAUGUGUGGAUGUGGCACCUGGGGACAUGGUUUCAAGGUCGACUUGUCAGUGUCAUGUUUGUGGGUGGACUCUCUACAAUCUUAGAGAUCUUUUUCAACCUAAACAAGUCCAUACUAUUGCAAUGGGGAGCCAGUUUUAACCCAAGGAUUAUUUGGUAAUGUCAUCUCAUAAAGUCAUUAAUAGAAACUUCACUCUAGUGCUCGAACUUAUGCAGCUGCUUUUCUCUUUGCUCUCCUCAUCUUCACUUCUACCUUCAGCCUCGGGACAGGAGAAUUGGCUUUGGUGGGACCAGUGGUAGUGGGAAAGCCUCAUGCCAGGGGGUUGUAGGUUGGUUUAUUUCUGCCAAGGUUGGAGCUGCCUCCAGAAAAGGCUGUGAUCCCUCCAGUCCUUAUUGACACUCUUUGACUGCUCUGAGGUGAGUUGAAGGCUGCAAGAGAUGUUGGUCAACCUGAGAUGUCUGCAGCUUUUCUGCCGCCUUCUGCUGGGCACAGGCUUUUCCACCUACACCCUGAAGACCAUCGUCAUGCACCUCCUGAACAGUCUCACCGUGUCACAAUGGCGCAGGAGGGAUUUCUUGCGGCGCCUGCGAGAUAUCAGUGUGAACCUGCGCUGCUCUCUGGAGGAGAAAUGCCUUAACCACUUUAUCAUAGGCAACAAGAGAUUGCCUCAGGAGAUUAGCUUGCCCCUGGACACUGCAGCAGCUGAGCCACCCAAUCUCUUCCAUCAGCUGGCACGGUAUCCAGCUGCCCACUCUCAGGCAAUGAGCGAGUACCAGGAUCUUCGGCGUCAGCUCGCAAGUGUGCUGCUCAAUGGCUGCUGAAAGAGGUGAUCAUGCACACAGCUGUGCUUGUGGGCUUCACAGGCAGUAGCAGAAAACCACCUCACAUCCCCGAGGAAAAGAGAGGAGAAUGUGGGAUACAGAAAGAGAAGAUAAAAAGCUUCUGCGCAGCAGCACUCUGCCAUCAGCAGCAGCAACAGUGUUGUUCAUAGAACAAAAAAAUAAAAUUUAAACUUUUGGGCAAUGUUGUUAACAACGUAUGUAUAAAAAGAGUUGUUGUUGAUACAAGGAACAAGUUAUAAUUGGCUGUGUAGUUAACAGGGUGUGGCGCAGGGUUGGAUGUUGUGGCUACAAAGUAAGGUGAUUAGUUGUAUCAGAGCUCAAUACUGUUGUGUACACCUAAAAGGGGACUGGAACCAGGGAGGAAAUGCCAAUCUUUGUGGAGGGGGGGCAGAGAAGCUUCUAGAAGUAUAACAUCGUAGAACACAGCCACAGCUUGGAUUAAGACUGGAGAAGAGACCAGCCAAUAAGAAGCAAGAAUUUCAAAAUGAUUGCACCAGCUUAUGGGCCAAUCAGCAACAGAAAAAGAAACCGAUCACAGCACGGAUCCUGAGCGCCCCAAGAAGGGAAGAAGAGAGACUUUAAAAGGCCUGGGGUGUGUGACACCCGGGUCUUUGCUUGGAGCUGGUAUCCUUGGAAACACCCCUAGGUUUACAAUUACUAAAUUGUUGAAACAGUCUCCGGACUAGCCGGAGGCUUUGGCUUCCAGUUGUUCUGUCUGUACUAAACAGGCUUAUUUGUUUUUAAUUACCUGGCCUGCUUUUUUUUUUUUUUUUUGGUUACUUUGAAGUUUUCGUUGUAAUAAGCCUGUCCAUAACAGUGUUGUCUUGGCAGUCUCCUCAGCACAGCAUCCAGAGAUGACUAGCGUGUAGAGGCCCAGAGAAGCUGACUUCCAUUGCAGGGUGGACUGUGGUGAUGGACUCUCCUUGUCCAUGGCUGCACUACAAUCUGAGAAAUCCUCAUUAGGCCUAAGCCUUGACAAACUCCAUUCAUAUUAAGCUCCUUUUGAAUGUAUCAGAAACAUAAUUUGUUCCCAGGAACUAACAGGUGUCUAACUAGCAGAUUUUUUUUUUUUUUUUUUUUAAUGAACAGGCCUGGAAAAUUAUUUUUCUUUGCUGAUUUAUUUUUCUUUGCUGACUUUUUUUGACUAAGAACCCAAGUGGAAUAAUAUCCUUGUUGACAAACCUUCAAACAAAGUUACAUAGAAAAGACCUGAAUGAUGGAACAUUACUAUGACUAAAUCCCACUCUGUUGCAACUGUAAAGUGUCCAAAGUGAGACCUUUUAAGCUCUUGAUUCUCAGAAUAUAAGGGACCAAUGAGUGAGUCUCUAACAUUGAUAAUUGUAUGGCAGUGGAGCCAACCAGGAACUGUUGGUAAUAGCCAAGGACUGCUGGCAUUAAAAUGCUGUGAGAAAGACCAAUAUAUGGCUGGAGAAGGGGGGCCAGGAGGAAAUAGGGCAGCACUUUUCUGUGAGA
ensembl:lncRNA